AAGAGCAUCUAGCCAUAGUAAUUAUGCCAAAGAUGACAUUGAAGCUCAACAUGGCUCUGCAGCUCACUGGUUUCAGUU